AUUGAACGCUGGCGGAAUGCUUUACACAUGCAAGUCGAACGGCAGCACGGGGCAACCUGGUGGCGAGUGGCGAACGGGUGAGUAAUACAUCGGAACGUGCCCAAUCGUGGGGGAUAACGUAGCGAAAGUUACGCUAAUACCGCAUACGAUCUACGGAUGAAAGCGGGGGAUCGCAAGACCUCGCGCGAAUGGAGCGGCCGAUGUCAGAUUAGGUAGUUGGUGGGGUAAAGGCUCACCAAGCCAACGAUCUGUAGCUGGUCUGAGAGGACGACCAGCCACACUGGAACUGAGACACGGUCCAGACUCCUACGGGAGGCAGCAGUGGGGAAUUUUGGACAAUGGGCGCAAGCCUGAUCCAGCCAUUCCGCGUGCAGGAUGAAGGCCUUCGGUUGUAACCUCUGUCAUGGGGAAGAAGGAAGUGACGGUACCCAACGAGGAAGCCCUCGCUACUACGUG
rnacentral:rRNA from 1 species